ensembl:lncRNA
GAGUACCUGCAGCCGGUUCCACCUGCGCUUCUCAGCUGUGCGCCUCAAGGAAUUUGCACUCGCGUCAGCUAAUUCGGGUUGGAUUUCUAGCGUUUCACAUACAGGCUCUAGACUCAUGCACAAUUGCAUUAAUACGUUGGUGUUUGAUAAACUAGGGCUGAAGGAGUUCCAUCAGUGAAGAGAGAAGCCGCGUGGCCUGAGGAUGCAGGGCACUGGUCAUCUGGACACGAGCCAUUUCUUAGCAUUAUGAGAUUUUAGAAGCAUGUUCUUUUUCUUUUUCUUUCUUUUUUUUUUUUUGAGAAGGAGUCUCACUCUGUCGCCCAGGCUGGAGUGCAGUGGCGCGAUCUCGGCUCACUGCAAACUCCGCCUCCCGGGUUCACGCCAUUCUCCUGCCUCAGCCUCCCGAGUAGCUGGGACUACAGGCGCCCGCCACCACGCCCAGCUAAUUUUUUUGUAUUUUAGUAGAGACGGGGUUUCACUGGGUUAGCCAGGAUGGUCUUGAUCUCCUGACCUCGUGAUCCGCCCGCCUUGGCCUCCCAAAGUGCUGGGAUUCCAGGCUUGAGCCACCGUGCCCGGCCUAGAAACAUAUUCUUACUCUGCCAGGGCCCAGGGAUAGAUGAGGCUCUGCUGUUGGGAUACCGUUUCACCAGCAGAGAUUAAUUGGAGAAUGUGUGAUUUUUUUUCCCUUUGGAAAUAAUUUCUUCUUUUUUUUUUUUUUGACAGGGUUUCUUUCUGUCAUCCAGGCUGGAGUGCAGUGGUAUGAGCAUAGCUCACUGCAGCCUCGACCUCCUGGGCUCAAGUGAUCCUCCCACCUCAGCCUCCCAAGUAGCUGGGACUACAGGCAGGCACCACCAUGCCCGGCUAAUUUUUAAAUUUUUGGUAGAGACGGGGUCUUGCUAUGUCACCCAGGCUGCCUCAAACUCCUGAGCUCAAGCGCUCCUUCUGCCUCAGCCUCCCAAAGUGCUGGGAUUACAGGCGUGAGCCACCGCACCUGGCAGGAGUAAUUUCUCAGUGCAUCUCUGACGGGGAGGUUAAUGAGGAAAGGACACCUGGUUUGAAGGCUUCUCCGUGUCUGUCCGUGGGCGCUGCUGAUCUGAGCCAAGGCACCAUUCCGCAGGCAUGCCUGAAAUGACUCCCGUGGCUGUCGUGGUGCCAUCUGGAGAGCAUUUGCUCACUGUAACGGUCCCGUCACACUUAUCUGAUGAGGAUCUGUUGGUUGACUUUGACAGUGAUAAAUGAACACAGCCUACCUGGGUGUUUUUGCAUUUACAGUUUGGGGGUUUAAAGUGCUGGCUAGAAGCUGACGGAGUAUGUGUAUGCAAGUGUGCGUGCAAAUGUGUCUGUGCUUGCAUACAAGAGUGUGUGUUUGGAGAAUUGGAUUUGAAAAUUCUAGCUCAGCUCUUUGGGGUAGUGUUUGAUCUGAACUCAAUGAAAGGCAGAGGGCCCCGGACUUUCCUGGGAUGAUGGGAGCUGGGCACCCCGGAUGAGGCUUGGGUGUGAGUAGGAGCGGGAUGGGCCACUGAAGAGAAGACAGAGUGGGUCUGUAGGGCCAGCCCGAGGUACCCACAGUGGAGGGUCUGCAAGCUGAUUUGGGAGGUGGCGUUUUAUACCUGUAGUCACCUUCUAUUUUAGAUAGGAUUUCACCUUCACACUUAAGAGAAACUGCCAAGAAGAACGCCGCCGCUCAGGUUUAUCUGGUAGAAUAAGCUGUUUGAACAAAGGUCUGGAGGUUGCACAAUCCUGUGUCAUUCUGGAUUUGUCUUGGGGUUGGGAGUCAACGAUACUUCUUAUGCCGUCAUUUCUCCGGCCGUGUGAAGUUGCCACCUCGUGAAUGGUAAUAAGUUAGUGUGUCUAAAUGCACUUCGAAAUCCCAGAAUAAAAAAGGCCAGGCCCUGUCUUUUCCUUCUCUAAGCACCAUCCUUGCUUAGCAGAGACACGGCUGCGCCUCUCGGGCUCUGGGGCAAUAUUCUGCUUAUAAUGUUUCAAGAGGUUCAGAGCGUGCCGGCCUCAUGCUCCGUGAGAGCCUUGCCCUGGGUCAGCAGGGGCGGCUGGGCUUGACUCGAGAAUUCCCACGGGGCCCGAGGGAAGACCAGAGCGAGAGGGAGGAGUGUGUGGAGCCCUAUGUGGCCUGUGAUGUCAGGGUGGCAUCCAGGCCCGCCUGGAUGGGGGAGGGAGACAGCAGAGCUGCUACCUGCUCACCCCAGACCCAGGGGCCCAGGGAGGAGCGGCCUUCCAGCCUGUCUCCUGCCCCUGGGCUGGAGUUCAUCUUGUAGGCAAAUUUGGAAUAGGAACCUUGCAAAUGCUUUCUUCACUCGUUUAAAUAAUAAUGAUAAGAAUAUGGCUGUGGGAGGCGGCUUAUGCCUAUAAUCCCACCAUUCUGGGGGCCCAAGGCAGGAGUAUUGCUUGAGCCCAGAAGUUCAAGACCAGCCUGGGCAACAUAGUGGGACCUGGUCUCUACAAAAGCUAAAAGAAAAAGCUGUGCAUGGCGGUAGGCACCUGUAGUCCCGGCUACUUGGGAGGCCGAGGUGGGAGGAUUGCUUGAGCCUGGGAGGUCAAGGCUGCUGUGAGGCAUGAUUGCACCACUGUAUUCCAGCCUGGGUGAUAGAGCAAGAUCCUGUCUUUAAAAAAAAAAAAAAAAA